GUAUCCUGUCUACUGACAAUGGCGAAUCCCAAGUGCCCCAGAGGGAGUGAACCUAUCAGGUCUUUGGAAAAUUCUUCUCUGAGGGGCAGAGAAAAUACUUCCUCCAGACAGCAAUGCUGGUGAUCCAUGAUCCCCUGUGGCGUGUCAGCCAGGCUGGGCUGCUCCUCACAUACUCCAUCCUGCGGGAAGCCCAGCAACAGAGGAGGACAAGCUGGAGGAUGUCAGAGCCAAGGUGAUGUGCCAGCUCCGCAUCAUCCGGCACUUGCACCAGGUGCCUGAGGCGCUGCAAGGGCUGUGCCUCAUCUGAUGCCCUUAAAGCUUCCCCUCCCAUGAUCAGCAACUCCCACUCCCUGCUGCAGCAAGAGGCUCCCCAGAGAUGUCCUCAAAUCUGUUCUCCUGGGAGCCUUUCUGGGAGGAGGCUCCCAUCCCUCAGUCUCCAACUCCAUCAUGCAGUCUCGUUUACAUAACAUCUCUGCUCUCCAGCUCCACUUCCCACAGCAGGACAAAAGAACCUUCAGCUCCUAGAGACCUGACUCUGACCUCCUUCUGAUCAGCAGUGAGGUUUCACCAUCCCCUCAACAAACCUGUCAGCCUCUGAAUGAUGAAUGUCAGAGUCACCAGAACCAGCAAAACUCCAACUGCAGCCAGUCAAGCCUUUUGUGAACUUAGCCCCUCUGGAAACCAGGUCUGAACUGGAGAGGUCUGAACUCAUGGACUCCUAGACUUUAAGGUCAGAGGGGACCAUUUAUGAUCAUCUAGUCUAACCUCCUGCACAAUACAGGCCACAGAAUCUCACUCACCCACUCUUGUAAUAAACCC